CCUGCCAGUAGUCAUAUGCUUGUCUCAAAGAUUAAGCCAUGCAAGUGUAAGUAUAAUUGUUUUACGGUGAAACUGCGAAUGGCUCAUUAAAUCAGUUAUAGUUUAUUUGAUGCUAUAGGCCGCAAGGCCACUACAUGGAUAUCUGUAGUAACAUAGAGCUAAUACAUGCAAUAUAGUCUGACUUUUUGGAAGGACUAGCACUUAUUAGAUAUUAAACCAGUCCCAGCAAUGGGUUUUUUGGUGAUUCAUAGUAACUGAACAAAUCACAUGGUCUUGUACCGGUGAUGUUUCAUUCAAAUUUCUGCCCUAUCAACUAGAUGGUAGUAUAUAGGACUACCAUGGUUGUAACGGGUAACGGAGGAUUAGGGUUUGAUUCCGGAGAAGGAGCAUGAGAAACGGCUACUAUUUCUAAGGAAAGCAGCAGGCG
rnacentral:rRNA from 1 species